rnacentral:rRNA from 1 species
GGCGCGUAACUUAUCCACUACUGUUUGUGAGAUAGGGACAGAACAUAAAAAGACUCAUCUUUCUAGAUGGGUUAUUUCAAUGAGUUGAACUUAAACAGUUCUUCGAGGACCCAGUGGAGGGCAAGUCUGGUGCCAGCAGCCGCGGUAAUUCCAGCUCCACUAGUGUAAAUCUACAUUGUUGCGGUUAAAAAGCUCGUAGUUGAAAUCGAGUCAUGCAGCUUUGAAACGGCUUUGCCGAUAUUCUUAGCGGUGACUAUUUUGCCAGUACUUCAGCAGGUUACUUCGGUGCCUGUUGUGUCUGGCGAGUUUACUUUGAAUAAAUUAGAGUGCUUAAGACAGGCGUAUGCUUGAAUAUCUUAGCUAGGAAUAAUAAAACAGGACCUCGGUUCUAUUUAUUGGUUCAGAAUUCGUGGUAAUGAUUAAUAGGGACAGUUCGGGGGCAUUCGUAUUUCUGCGCGAGAGGUGAAAUUCGGUGACCGCAGGAAGACGUCCUGAAGCGAAAGCUAUUGCCAAGUCUGUCUUCUUUAAUCAAGAACGAAAGUCAGAGGUUCGAAGGCGAUUAGAUACCGCCCUAGUUCUGACCGUAAACUAUGCCAUCUAGCGAUUCGGAGASGUAAUUUAUUGCUUUUCCGAGGAGCUUCCCGGAAACGAAAGUUUUUCGGUUCCGGGGGUAGUAUGGUUGCAAAGCUGAAACUUAAAGAAAUUGACGGAAGGGCACCACCAGGAGUGGAGCCUGCGGCUUAAUUUGACUCAACACGGGAAAACUCACCCGGUCCGGACACCGUUAGGAUUGACAGAUUGAAAGCUCUUUCUCGAUUUGGUGGUUGGUGGUGCAUGGCCGUUCUUAGUUGGUGGAGUGAUUUGUCUGGUUUAUUCCGAUAACGAGCGAGACUCUAGCCUACUAAAUAGUUGGCAGGUUCUUGAGCCUGUUUCAACUUCUUAGAGGGAUAAGCGGUGUCGAAGCCGCACGAGAUUGAGCGAUAACAGGUCUGUGAUGCCCUUAGAUGUCCGGGGCUGCACGCGCGCUACACUGGAAGACUCAACUGGUCGUCCGGUGCCGAAAGGUACUGGUAAUCCGUUGAAACUCUUCCGUGACCGGGAUCGGGAAUUGUAAUUAUUUCCCUUGAACGAGGAAUUCCUAGUAAGUGUGAGUCAUCAGCUCACGCUGAUUACGUCCCUGCCCUUUGUACACACCGCCCGUCGCUGUCCGGGACUGAGCUGUUUCGAGAAGACUGAGGACCGCUUUUGUGAGGCUUCGGCUUUGCUCUAGUGGAAGCCAGUUUAAUCGCAAUGGCUUGAACCGGGCAAAAGUC